rnacentral:ribozyme from 12 species
GAAAGAGAAAGAGAAAGAGGAAAAGAAACAGGAAAAAAUAAAAGUGAGCAGUCUAGUAAUCGUAUGGGCGGAUUCGACGGACCAAAUAAAAAGGCAUUGUCUUCCUCUUAUGCAUCGUCUCUUUCUCCUUCUCCUUCUUCC